rnacentral:tRNA from 1 species
UAAAUGCCACGCCAUCUUGAGGGGGUGGUGAGCGUACGCUCGUGAGGGUUCAAGUCCCUCCAACCGCACCA